GACGAACCGUGCGAACGUUGUUCGGAAUCACUGGGCUUAAAGGGCGCGUAGGCGGGCUGUCAAGUCUGGGGUGAAAUCCCGCGGCUCAACCGCGGAAGUGCCUUUGAUACUGACGGCCUCGAGGGAGGUAGGGGCGUGUGGAACUUCCGGUGGAGUGGUGAAAUGCGUAGAUAUCGGAAGGAACGCCGGUGGCGAAAGCGACGCGCUGGACCUCUUCUGACGCUGAGGCGCGAAAGCCAGGGGAGCAAACGGG
rnacentral:rRNA from 1 species